rnacentral:rRNA from 1 species
GGGGAAGGCUACCGUCAAAUCUUGCUAGUGCGAUCGGACAGUAAGGGAACUUGCUCCCGGAUGUUAGCGGCGGACGGGUGAGUAACACGUGGGUAACCUGCCUGUAAGACUGGGAUAACUCCGGGAAACCGGAGCUAAUACCGGAUAGUUCCUUGAACCGCAUGGUUCAAGGGAAGAAAAAAGGUUUCGGCUGUCACAUUACAAAAAGGACCCCGCGGCGCAUUUAACUAUGUUGGUGAGGUAAAGGCUUCACCAAGGCGGACAGAUGCGUUAGCCGACCUGAGGAGGGUGAUCGGCCACACUGGGACUGAGAACACGGCCCAGACUCCUACGGGAGGCAGCAGUAGGGAAUCUUUCCGCAAUGGACGAAAGUCUGACGGAGCAACGCCGCCUGAGUGAUGAAGGUUUUCGGAUCGUAAAGCUCUGUUGUUAGGGAAGAACAAGUGCAAGAGUAACUGCUUGCACCUUGACGGUACCUAACCAGAAAGCCACGGCUAACUACGUGCCAGCAGCCGCGGUAAUACGUAGGUGGCAAGCGUUGUCCGGAAUUAUUGGGCGUAAAGGGCUCGCAGGCGGUUUCUUAAGUCUGAUGUGAAAGCCCCCGGCUCAACCGGGGAGGGUCAUUGGAAACUGGGAAACUUGAGUGCAGAAGAGGAGAGUGGAAUUCCACGUGUAGCGGUGAAAUGCGUAGAGAUGUGGAGGAACACCAGUGGCGAAGGCGACUCUCUGGUCUGUAACUGACGCUGAGGAGCGAAAGCGUGGGGAGCGAACAGGAUUAGAUACCCUGGUAGUCCACGCCGUAAACGAUGAGUGCUAAGUGUUAGGGAGUUUCCGCCCCUUAGUGCUGCAGCUAACGCAUUAAGCACUCCGCCUGGGGAGUACGGUCGUCAAGACGGAAACUCAAAGGAAUUAACGGGGGCCCGCACAAGCGGUGGAGCAUGUGGUUUAAUUCGAAGCAACGCGAAGAACCUUACCAGGUCUUGACAUCCUCUGACAACCCUAGAGAUAGGGCUUUCCCUUCGGGGACAGAGUGACAGGUGGUGCAUGGUUGUCGUCAGCUCGUGUCGUGAGAUGUUGGGUUAAGUCCCGCAACGAGCGCAACCCUUGAUCUUAGUUGCCAGCAUUCAGUUGGGCACUCUAAGGUGACUGCCGGUGACAAACCGGAGGAAGGUGGGGAUGACGUCAAAUCAUCAUGCCCCUUAUGACCUGGGCUACACACGUGCUACAAUGGACAGAACAAAGGGCUGCGAGACCGCAAGGUUUAGCCAAUCCCACAAAUCUGUUCUCAGUUCGGAUCGCAGUCUGCAACUCGACUGCGUGAAGCUGGAAUCGCUAGUAAUCGCGGAUCAGCAUGCCGCGGUGAAUACGUUCCCGGGCCUUGUACACACCGCCCGUCACACCACGAGAGUUGUGCAACAUCCGCGAUGUCUGCUGAGGUAACCAAGUGGUAGACCAACGAACCCUUGGUUUUCCCCCC